ACAGUUGUGGCCGAUUGGUUAAAGCGAUGGACUAGAAAUUCGUUGGGGUCUCCUCGCACAGGUUUCAAUCUUGUCGACUGCG
rnacentral:tRNA from 1 species